GAUUAGUUCUCAUCAUGAAGAUCACACUCUCCUUAUUACUGCUACUGCUCACCUUCAGCAGUGUGAAAUGUCAGAGUAUGGAAUCAUUAGAAACUGCAGUUCAGAAAAAACCUGGAGAAACUCUGAGUCUCUCCUGUAGAGGAUCUGGAUUUACCUUUAAAGACUAUAGCAUGAACUGGAUCAGACAACAGACUGGAAAACCACUGGUAUGGAUGGGACGUGUUUGGGGUGAUGGAAGUGGCAGCAAGGCAGCAUCGUUUCAAGGCCGGAUUCAGAUCACCAGAGAUGAUUCUAACAGCAUGGCGUAUCUGAAACUGUCUGGUGUGACAGCAGAGGAUUCAGCUGUGUAUUACUGCGCUCGACAAACACAGCGAUACAGAAUAGUGGAGACACUGUACAAAAACAUGCAGCUGCUGUGUCUGCAGAUGGUUAAGAAGCCUAAGCAGCAACACAACCACAGGGGGCAGCAGAGGAUAAGAAAUGAAGUGUAGAAUUAACA